GACGAACCGUGCGAACGUUGUUCGGAAUCACUGGGCUUAAAGGGCGCGUAGGCGGGCUGCCAAGUCUGGGGUGAAAUCCCACGGCUCAACCGUGGAACUGCCUCGGAUACUGGCGGCCUCGAGGGGGGUAGGGGCAUGCGGAACUGUAGGUGGAGCGGUGAAAUGCGUUGAUAUCUACAGGAACUCCGGUGGCGAAGGCGGCAUGCUGGACCUUCACUGACGCUGAGGCGCGAAAGCCAGGGGAGCAAACGGG
rnacentral:rRNA from 1 species